UACGUAGGGUGCAGGCGUUAAUCGGAAUUACUGGGCGUAAAGCGUGCGCAGGCGGUUUGCUAAGACAGGUGUGAAAUCCCCGGGCUUAACCUGGGAACUGCGCUUGUAACUGGCAAGCUAGAGUGUGGCAGAGGGGGGUGGAAUUCCACGUGUAGCAGUGAAAUGCGUAGAGAUGUGGAGGAACACCGAUGGCGAAGGCAGCCCCCUGGGCUAACACUGACGCUCGUGCACGAAAGCGUGGGGAGCAAACAGG
rnacentral:rRNA from 1 species